GCAUGACCCCCGACCGGAAAUCCACCUCCGAGGCUUUCUUCACCGGCGCUGGGGACCGAGGGGCCACCGCACUUAUCAAGGUCCCCAGCACCACCUUCCCUUCCCCCUAGCAACACAGACCUCGGAAAUCACGCCCUCCACUGAGGAUCUUGGGAUUAGUAGUGUGUACCGAAUAGAAAGAGGAGUGGGAGGCCCCGGUGCACAACUGAGC